UCAAACUGGAUCUCUGACCAUCACAGACACCACAACUCAACACGCUGGAGAUUAUAAACUGCAGAUAUUUAAACUAGAACAGUCAUUAAAAGAUUUCAGAGUUUCUGUUUAUGUUUCUGAACACUGCUGUGGUUCUACUGAAGCUGUGAUCCGAUUGGCCCUCUCUGCACUGGUGGGCGUGGCUACCGUCCUUCUUCUAGUUUAUGACAUAAGAUCCAGAAGAGAUAAACAACAUCAAACACAUAUUCACACAACAGAAAGUAUUGAAAUCUAAAGCAGAACGUCGUUCUUUAUUGGUUCUUCAUGUGUGUUUUUUUAUUCUUGUAGUGUUUCUGUCAUAAUGACUGAGUUUGUACUCUUUCUUUCAACAUCAAGCUGCAUCAGGUGUAUUUGAUUAGGGUUGAAGCUAAACUGUAUGGGACGGUCCCCAGGAACAGGGUUGAAGACCUCUGUUCAUUUGUGUAAUAAUUCUAUUAUUACAGUUGUAUUAAUAACUGGUUUUAUCAGAGAAAAACUGUGAAAAUGCAACAGGAAAAAACCUGUUAAAUGAUUAAUGGUAAAUGUAAAAUU